GGCAUGUUGUCAAAUGAAAGUCCUUUAUGGUAGCUGGACCGUGUGAAGCCAUCUCUGUCCACAAACAAGCCAGGUGUCCUCGACAGACCCGAGGAGUCCCUCUGGGGGAGCAGCUGAUACGACUUGCUAAACAUUCUCGUGCUCAUAAUGUGCUCGUUACCGCCAACCAACGUCGCUGAGGUGAAACGGGAGUUUUAAUUCCAGGACAUUACAGCUGGCUCCAGUUUUGCACAGGUCUCAGCAGUCAGCAGGCUGACCAUGAAGCGGUGGUUGUUACUGGGGUUGCUGCAGGGCUGGGUGGUGGCAGAGGUGGUGACAGAGGAGGUGACCAGAGGUCUGCAGAUGACCGAUGAGUAGGGGGCAGAUGAGGUGUUUCCUAUCACAACAAUCAAUGGCUCACCUGCUUCUGUUCCAUUUGUGAAGUUGUUGGAGUUUUCAGAAGAAAAUGUGCUCAUGUGGUCCUCCAUUUUGACAGGUGUUUUGUAAUGACUGAACUUCACUUAAUA